GUAUAUACUCUUUCCUAAAUACUCUGAAGGCACCAGAUCCCAUCUGAUCUUGGAAGUUAAGCAGGGUUGGCUCUGUCUUGUACUUGAAUGGAAGACCACCAAUGAACACUAGGUGCUGUGGGCU
rfam:Anolis carolinensis chromosome 3, whole genome shotgun sequence.